rnacentral:rRNA from 1 species
GGGGCUGGGAUUAUUCAAGGGCCACGCCUGUCUGAGGGUCGGCUACACUAGAACUUCGGUUCAACGAUUAUCGCGCUCGAUACGUCGGCCAGAGACCGUAGGAGUCCUUAACAGCGAUCCUAGAUCGCGUCCUGCGCAGGUCGCAYACGUAAUCGUGUCGCCAGUUGAGGGUUUUGGUUUUCGCUUGACGAUCGCCAAUCCCUUUAAAUACGUUACACAGAAACGUUGCUAAGUCUCGGCUUGUACUCGGUGUGCAACUCGACCCCCAGUGGUGGAGAGGCGGUACUGUGCAUAAACCUUGACGCGGCUCGURCAGUGAGAGUGGCUGUUCAUGUAUCAGCGCUUACUCGUACUUGCCCGUCUCGGCGGCGCUGUUAUCGAUCCCGCAAACGCCUGAGUCGUCUUGACGGCUAAGCUCGUUUCGUUCGUGUAAAUAAGCGGCGUUUUAGCCUUGCGGCUUUCUCGUCCAACACACAAUUUUUAUGCUGCGACCUCAGAUCAGGUGGGCUUACCCGCUGAAUUUAAGCAUAUUAAUAACGGGGAAA